CAACCUGAGAGUUUGAUCCUGGCUCAGAGCGAACGCUGGCGGCAGGCCUACUACAUGCAAGUCGAACGGAUCCUUCGGGAUCAGUGGCGGACGGGUGAGUAACGCGUGGUAACGUGCCAUUUGGUACGGAACAACGCAGGGAAUCUUCAGCUAAUACCGUAUGUGCCCUUCGGGGGAAAGAUUUAUCUCCAUUGGAGCGGCCCGCGUUGGAUGAGGUAGUUGGUGAGGUAAAGGCUCACCAAGCC
rnacentral:rRNA from 1 species